rnacentral:rRNA from 1 species
UGGGGAAUAUUGCACAAUGGGCGCAAGCCUGAUGCAGCCAUGCCGCGUGUAUGAAGAAGGCCUUCGGGUUGUAAAGUACUUUCAGCGGGGAGGAAGGGAGUAAAGUUAAUACCUUUGCUCAUUGACGUUACCCGCAGAAGAAGCACCGGCUAACUCCGUGCCAGCAGCCGCGGUAAUACGGAGGGUGCAAGCGUUAAUCGGAAUUACUGGGCGUAAAGCGCACGCAGGCGGUUUGUUAAGUCAGAAGUGAAAUCCCCGGGCUCAACCUGGGAACUGCAUCUGAUACUGGCAAGCUUGAGUCUCGUAGAGGGGGGUAGAAUACCAGGUGUAGCGGUGAAAUGCGUAGGGAUCUGGAGGAAGACCGGUGGCGAAGGCGGCCCCCUGGACGAAGACUGACGCUCAGGUGCGAAAGCGUGGGGAGCAAACAGG